UAGUUUAUCAUGUUCCUCACGGCGCCCAC
rnacentral:piRNA from 1 species